CGAACGCUGGCGGCGUGCUUAACACAUGCAAGUCGAACGGAAAGGCCCUGCUUUUGUGGGGUGCUCGAGUGGCGAACGGGUGAGUAACACGUGAGUAACCUGCCCUUGACUUUGGGAUAACUUCAGGAAACUGGGGCUAAUACCGGAUAGGAGCUCCUGCUGCAUGGUGGGGGUUGGAAAGUUUCGGCGGUUGGGGAUGGACUCGCGGCUUAUCAGCUUGUUGGUGGGGUAGUGGCUUACCAAGGCUUUGACGGGUAGCCGGCCUGAGAGGGUGACCGGCCACAUUGGGACUGAGAUACGGCCCAGAUUCCUACGGGAGGCAGCAGUGGGGAAUAUUGCACAAUGGGCGGAAGCCUGAUGCAGCAACGCCGCGUGCGGGAUGACGGCCUUCGGGUUGUAAACCGCUUUCGCCUGUGACGAAGCGUGAGUGACGGUAAUGGGUAAAGAAGCACCGGCUAACUACGUG
rnacentral:rRNA from 1 species